UUUAUUUGAUUUCCUUCGGGACUGAUUAUUUUGUGACUGAGUGGCGGACGGGUGAGUAACGCGUGGGUAACCUGCCUUGUACAGGGGGAUAACAGUUGGAAACGACUGCUAAUACCGCAUAAGCGCACAGGAUUGCAUGAUCCAGUGUGAAAAACUCCGGUGGUAUGAGAUGGACCCGCGUCUGAUUAGGUAGUUGGUGGGGUAACGGCCUACCAAGCCAACGAUCAGUAGCCGACCUGAGAGGGUGACCGGCCACAUUGGGACUGAGACACGGCCCAAACUCC
rnacentral:rRNA from 1 species